ensembl:lncRNA
GCCGCCCUGGGGCCGGCAACACGCACUGCAGCAAACACAGACAUGGGCACACUCGCCAGCCUUGGAAGCUGGCACCCAGGAGUAAGCUGACGGCGUGGCAAGCACCCUCCAUACACCGCGGAGAGACCGGUUCACGUUGCAGGACACCAUAGACACAGGGGAUCUUCCCGACCCAAGGAUCAAACCUGCAUCUCCUGCACUGCCGGUGAAUUCCUUUCCCCUGAAAGAUGAUGCUGUGAAAGUGCUGCACUCAAU